AAUAGUGUCCCUUUUCACGCUGAAAAGUGUCCCGGUAUGGGGGCUAGUUAAGGAACCUUGUCUGCCAGUUCAGGGAAGGCUCCAGUGGGGCAGGGAAGGAAGACAGCUAUCAUCUGCUGGCUCUGCUACAGGCAUUUUCCUGGCACUUUGUAUUUUCUGUAACCUUCGCCUCGCCUUCUGCAAGGGCAGUAUCACUAGCACCUUUUACAGAUGAAGAAGCUGUCUCAGAGAGGUUAAGAGACUUGCCCAAGGCCAAACAGUGAAGUGUUGGAGCAAGGUUCCAGACCCAGGUCUCUGUGGCUUCCAAAGUCCAAGGGCCUGAUCUCAUGCUUCCUUUUCAAAAUAAAUCGAUGAUAUUAAAUCAAUAAAUAAGAGACUGUCCCUGCCAGGGAGGAGCUUAUAAUCUGGCAGGUUGAAAAUACUAGAGGAUACAACUAAGCAAUAAAAUAGAGAAAAGACUGAAGACAGCUCAUAAGGCUCAGGGGGAAGUUGAUGACAAAAUGACCCAAGUCAGAUGGAGAUGAUCAGAGCCUCCUGCAGGAGGUGGAUUUUGUGCUGGGUUAUGAGGUGGUGAUGGGGCCAGCAUCACUGAGUGUGUGUGUGAGAUGUGACGCCAAGGAAGGGAACAAUCUAAGGGCAUCAGACCAGGGUCCCAGAGCUAGGCAGGCUGGAAUCUCCAGUGGCAAGAAGAUCCCUCUAUAAACCCCAAAGCCACCGGUUGCACAUAUCCCCCUUUCUGCCUUCCACCCUCCUCAGUGGUUUUCUGUUUCCUCCUAGAGCAGAGGCUCCCGGCAGGCAGCUGCACUCAUUCACUCUGCACUCAAGGUCUCUGCAGUUGGUAUUUGGCACAAACCCCCGCUGUUAACUUGGAUAUCAGCUUCUCCCUUCCCCACCCCACUCUGAAGAUUUUGGGGAAUAAAGAAUAGUGGCUCCUUAAAACAAAAGGGCCUGAGUGAGCAGCAGGAAGCCAACAGGCUUGAUGGGAAUGGGGAGACCAAGUCAGGAAAGAGAACUGGAAAGAUGAGAAAGGAGCACAACCACUUGAGAAGUGUCUGCUGCCCUCGUGCUGUGCAGCAGGCCCUGUGCUGGACUCUGUGGUCUGGGCACACCAUGAAUGAGUCCCAGUCUCUUCAUAUGGGACACACACAUUAGCCGCUGGGGUACCCAGUGUGCCUGGCUGACGAGUCUGAAGUUGAUAACAUACACAGUAAACUGUCUGAGAAAGAUUAUUCCAGCAGGGUGUGUAGGAGGAAGGAAAAACCUCGGGCAGAAAGGACAGUGUGGCAGCCGCUGUGGGAUUUUGGGCCCGAGGUGGAAUCUUUGGGGUUGGAGAGGAAGGGGUGAAUGAGAAAAAUAACCAACAGUACAUCUUGUAAUAAAAGCAGCAAAAGGAAGAAUCUGGUAAUAGAUCAGAUAUAGGAUGGUGAAGGAGAGAAAAUAGUUAAAAAUUAAUCCACUUUCAUGGCGAGUUUGGGGGUUGGGAGAGUCACGGUGGGCAAUAGGGAGGAGCUAGUAUGAGGGACAUGAGGAUGAGUUCAGUCACUUCUAGGCCAUGUGAGGGCAGGUGUCCUGUAGGUGACUGGACUUGGAGAUAGGGAAGUCCAGAAGGGCAGCGGGCUGCCUUGCGAGAGAGUGUCCCUGUCACUAUAGGUGUGCAAACAGCUUCAGAACAAUCACUGACGUGGGACACCAUGGAGAGACUUCAUACGUCAGGUAGAAGGCUGGAACCGACAACAGCGAAGGCACCUCCUGACUGGGAGAUUCGGGAAAUUCCUCCGUGCUGGACCGCACCCGCCCUUGAGGACCUCCCGAUCUCUUUGGGCAGAACGGAAGCCAGACAGAGACGGGGACUGCGAAGUGACAAUCCCCAGCCCUGUAUGUGCCAGGAGCCCCUGAGGGGCAGGCGGCCAUGCGGCAGGAGGGCAGGGGCCGCCGAGGGAGCCGGGCCUGGGCUGCUGGGACAGAGCGCUUCUCAGAGGAGGUGGGGACCCCGUGGAGUACGUGACUCUGGCCCCUCCAGCCUGCGCACACUCCAGUUAGCGGGACAGAGACCCCUCCCCACCCAUCCUUAACCUUCCACAGCUUCCCGCUCUGCUGGGAGGCCCUGUCACCACACACACACACACCCUUCCCAGACACCCCCGAGAGGACCAGCUGCAGCUGGGGGGUGGGGAGAGCACCGUCAGGGUUCUCGGAUCGCUCGCCCCCAACUGCUGAGCCGCUUCGAGGUUUAAAGCAAAACAUGAUUCUGUCCUUCCUGCCGCUCCGAGGCACCCGCGUUAUUUUUAGCAGGGAUGCAGGGCAGGCACAUUUCUCCUUGACUUUCACUGGGGACAUCCCCCCACCCCCCAGCCAAGACUCAGCCUGGGGAGGCCAGGACGGAAACCCCCCUCCCAGAAAGGGGAAACGGGUGUGUUUUCUGUUCCUUCAACUCACCAGAACAGGAGUUACGGUCAAGCUUGGGGUUGCACUGAUG
ensembl:lncRNA